rnacentral:rRNA from 1 species
CCGGGUAAGUAACACGUAGCAGACCUGCCUUUCCGCGGGGGAUAACAGUCCGAAAGGAUUGCUAAUACCGCAUAAUUUCAGGGGAACUAGAUACCCUUGAAUAAACUUCCGGGGCGGAAAGAGGGUGCUGCGGCCCAUCAGGUAGUUGGUGAGGUAACGGCUCACCAAGCCGACGACGGGUAGGGGGCCUGAGAGGGUGACCCCCCACACUGGAACAGACAGACGGUCCAGACUCCUACGGGAGGCAGCAGUAAGGGAUAUUGGGCAAUGGACGAAAGUCUGACCCAGCAACGCCGCGUGGAGGACGAAGGUUUUCGGACUGUAAACUCCUUUUGUCGGGGACGAGAUAGGACGGUACCCGACGAAUCAGUCACGGCUAACUACGUGCCAGCAGCCGCGGUAAAACGUAGGUGGCGAGCGUUAUCCGGAUUUACUGGGCGUAAAGGGUGUGCAGGCGGGCUGUUAAGUGGUGCAUGAAAUCUCCGCGCUUAACGUGGAGAGGCUGUGCCAGACUGGCAGUCUAGAGUACGAGAGAGGGUUGUGGAAUUCCGGGUGUAGUGGUGAAAUGCGUAGA